rnacentral:rRNA from 1 species
GCAGCCGCGGUAAUACGUAGGUUGCAAGCGUUGUCCGGAUUUACUGGGUGUAAAGGGCGUGUAGGCGGAGAUGCAAGUCAGGAGUGAAAUCCCGGGGCUCAACCCCGGAACUGCUUUUGAAACUGUAUCCCUUGAGUGUCGGAGAGGCAAGCGGAAUUCCUAGUGUAGCGGUGAAAUGCGUAGAUAUUAGGAGGAACACCAGUGGCGAAGGCGGCUUGCUGGACGAUAACUGACGCUGAGGCGCGAAAGCGUGGGGAGCAAACAGGAUUAGAUACCCC